rnacentral:misc_RNA from 1 species
UGAUUUUCAAUUCCAGUACCUCCUAAUCCAUCUUUUGAAUCUGUAAAAAAUUCAAUCUCUUGACUCCAAAAUGAUAAAGAGCUUCAUUAACAAUUGAUUUUCAAGGAAUUUAUAAAUAUUGACACUUUUUUUGCAUGAUAAAAACUAAUCAUGCAAUCUGCAAUCACCUUCAACCAUUAAGCUGCUGUUGGGUUCUGGGUUGAUGGUGUGAGGGAGAUGGACCUCUCCCUUACUCCAGUCUCGUAUCCCCACAUUUCUUGCAAUACCCGGAGUAACUCCCAAGCUCAACACAUUUGCAUAAAGACCCAUUCUUGGUUCCCAUGCCCACCUGCUACAUUACACCUGCGCGACGCUCCACCUUCGAGUCCUUUUUCCUCCAGGCAUCUUUAGAUCUCCAACGCCACUCACAGAAGCUUAUUGUGCUUCAAUGCCCAUAACAUGGCCAGUAAAUCUCCAACACGAGACCUCAGCAGUACUCAUGCCCAUCACAUACCCACUGCCACAUGAAAAUCAACACAGUCACUCUCACCUUUGUAAAAAAACCCCCGUCCUCAGCAUCAUCAACAAUUGCAUGUGAUUGUGGGAGUCGAUGUGUAGGAAAAGACCUUUGAGUUGUUGGAGAGGCAAGGGAGGAGAGAAGCAACUAGGGGAACUAGAAGAGGAACUACAGUGAAGCCUUAUGGAACAGGGGAAAUAGAUAUACUGGUUGUGCUAUUGAGUAAUGGGUAUUAAUUUUCUGAGUUGGGUAUGAGUUAAGAGUGCGAACAAGAAGACGAAGAAGGAGCAGACAUCGAUUUUGGGUUAGGGAUUCCUUAGGUUUGGAGAUUUUGGGGAUUAUUGGGAUUAGGAAAUUAUUAUAUUUGAAUUCAA